rnacentral:tRNA from 1 species
GCGUCCUUAGCUCAGCUAGAUAGAGUACCUGGCUACGACCCAGGCGGUCGGAGGUUCGAAUCCUCCAGGCCGCGCCA